rnacentral:rRNA from 1 species
UACGAACUGCGCGAACGUUAUUCGGAAUCACUGGGCGUAAAGCGUGCGUAGGCGGUCUGUUAAGUGAGAUGUGAAAUCGUGUGGCUCAACCAUAUCGUUGUGUCUCAUACUGGCAGACUAGAGGAUAGCAGAGGCAAGUGGAAUUACGAGUGUAGCAGUGAAAUGCGUAGAGAUUCGUAGGAACACCAAUGGCGAAGGCAGCUUGCUGGGCUAUAUCUGACGCUCAGGCACGAAAGCGUGGGGAGCGAACAGG